ensembl:rRNA 5S_rRNA 5S ribosomal RNA
UGUCUGGCAGUUAGCUCUCUGCAACUCUCACAUAGUCGCCCACUGAAGCUAAGCAGGGCUGCGCCUGGUCAGUACCUUAAUGGGAGAUCACAUGGGAAAACUAGGUUGCUCAACCC